rnacentral:lncRNA from 10 species
UCUCGAUCUCCUGACCUUGUGAUCCUCCUGCCUCGGCCUCCCAAAGUGCUGGGAUUACAGGCGUGAGCCACCGCGCCUGGCCAGGAUUUUUAAAAAAUAUAAAAUGCCCCCAAUGGUGUCAUGUAGCCCUUGAAAGAAUGAAUAAUAAUGAAGUAUUUCUGUUGAUUCUGAGGGCUCUUAACCAAUUAUCCAGUUCUUCCAACCACACAGUCAUGUUUCUGCCACAAAAGACCCUAGGGCCAUCAAUCACUUCACUUGGGAAGAAAUUUUAAAAGCUGCUAAGAUUUUAGCUGAAGUUAAAAGAUUCCCUAUUAUUUAAUUGCCUAAUUGGUAUAUCCACAUUCAUUCCUUCAUAUAUUACAUUUGCAAAGAAAAUUUCAACUCUAAUGAAACAACAGUCCAACUCGUUUUUCGCAUACACACAUAAGAAUUCUUUUCCUUGAUAUAAUAUUAUUACAUAAACUAUGCCUCUCAUAUUUAUUUUGUUUUUAGAAAGCAGCACUGUAUAAGAUACGAAUUUGGCACCUAAAUCAGAACUCUGAUUACUAUAAUUGUAAUGUCAAAAGCCCCUGCUGGAUGCUGCUGUCCUCAUUUCCUUGUUUCUAGUAUUUAUUUCUAUAGCACAUAUGCAUCCAUAGUUCAUUAUAACAGAAAACAUAAUGUGUGUUCAGAAUCCAUACAACUUGAAUCUGUAGCAUAUUUUCUUCUUAAAUCCAUUUACACAGGUAAACUAUCCUAUAAGGUAUAGGGAAAAAAGAAGAAGAACCGAAUUGUACAUCAGGAAUCUGGUCAUCCAACUUCUUUGGCCUACAAAUUCCUCACCAGAGAAAGAAAAGGAUAGAACAGAUGUUCUCUAAUGUGUAAAACUCUGGUGGCUCACUCCCGUAGUCCCAGCACUUUAGGAGGCCGAGGUGGGUGGAUCACGAGGUCAGGAGAUUGAAACCAUCCUGGCCAACAUGGUGAAACCCGUCUCUACUAAAAAUAAAAAAAAAUUAGCUGGGUGUGGUGGCGCGUGCCUGUAAUUCCAGCUACUCGGGAGGCUGAGGCAGGAGAAUCGCUUGAACCUGGGAGGUGGAGAUUGCAGUUAGCCGAGUUCGUGCCACUGCACUCCAGCCUGGCGACAGAGCGAGACUCCGUCUCAACAAAAAAAAACUCUGGUUUUAAGAGUGGUCAUUAACACGUGUGGAAAAAAUUCCAAACUUGAGCAAAGCAAAUGCAUAACAUUUCCAGUCACAGUCAUUUAGCACAGUGAAUACUAAAGUACUUGAUAAUUUGACAAAACUUAAUUUCACUUGUGCAGGAGUUGAUCAAUCUGGACUAAAGGAACUGCUUGACACAGAGGAGCUUAAAAAAGAAUACUGAACUGACUGCUAUUUUUAACUUACUUUCAGUUAUGCUCACAUUUCAUAAUCAAAACAUUAGAUAGUAUAUUAAAACAGUAUCUUUAGAGCCUGAAAGUUUAAUCACUAUCAAAAGCAGUUCAAGGAUUCUUAACAUGGAGCACAUGGAGACCUAGGGAAUCCACAAAUAAACUUGGCAAGAAUCUGAAUCCCCAGAAGUCAUACGUUAAAAAAAAUAGCUUUUUUUCCUAGGAAGAGGUCAGAAAAUUCUUAAGUGAGACAACUGAAAGAACUAAAG